CGUCAGUAGGUUUUCCCUGAGGGCAGGACACCCCCAGAUCCCAAUCCCUCCUCUUUCAAUCAGGGAUCAUAUAAACGGUCCAGAAACCCUGGAAAACACAGGAAAUUGUGCGCUCCUGAUCGACUCUGAAACUACGGACUUCUUCUCCACUUCUUCAACAGGAAAAUGCCAAGAAUCUUAGCGGAUAGCCCUAAUGUCAUUGCAGACUCAGACAAAGGUUUCAUUGACCCUACCGGAGACGAUUGUGAAGGAGGCCCCGCCACAAGCGAGUCAUCAAGGGUUGGGAGACGAGACUCUACCGUUAAUUUUACUCAAACGAGAACAAAUCCUCAGGAACAAAUGAUAUCCAUCAGCGAACCGGUAGAUCUACCGUCGGAAGCCAGCGAGCAGCCGGGACCGAGCUCCGCAGCGCCUCCAAAGAAGAACAGGAGUCGUGACAACGGAUCCAGUCCACAAAGGAACACGACUCCCACUCCCCAUGAAGAAAUAAAGUGCAAAGAAGAAGAGCGAAGGGAAGCUCGUCGGAAGCACGAGGUCUUUAACAGAAUAGCAGCUCUCCUCGCCGCUGAUCGUAACAGAUCAUCAGAGGAGACCGCGUCUAUUCACAACAAACUGGACUCAUUAAACGUCAGAAUGUCAACUAUCGAUAACAAACUGGACUCAUUGUUCGCGUUCCUCCAGGAGGAUCGAGACAGAUCGGCAGCUGAAUUUGCAACCAUUCGCAACAUAAUAAAAGCCGAAUUUUCUGCAUUGCACAAUAGAAUUGACGCACUUGGUGUCGGACAUCGAGAAAUAAUAGACGAUAUACAGACUCGGUGCAGUGAUAUUAUGCAGCGUCUCUCACAAAUGUCUCCACGGUUACACGGUGUAAUAUCAUUGAGCCUGCUGCACCACAGCAAACUGCCUUGAUUAUUUAGAUUAGUACACCAUGUGACUACAGAAGAGUCAAGUUGAAGACUAUUAGAGGAAAAAUUGAUUGUUGAGUGAACUCAUGUGUAUGUUUUCUUGUUAAUUGUACAUUAAAUUUCUUCCUUUAAUUCAGUUAGAAAGUGUGAUUCUUUUGGCUUUAAGAGCUGCUUGAAUUUCAGUGAAGUCUCUGGAUGCUUCCACAGGUAAA